UACAGAGGUCUCAAGCGUUGUUCGGAUUCAUUGGGCGUAAAGGGUGCGUAGGCGGCGCGGUAAGUCGGGUGUGAAAUCUCGGAGCUUAACUCCGAAACUGCAUUCGAUACUGCCGUGCUUGAGGACUGGAGAGGAGACUGGAAUUUACGGUGUAGCGGUGAAAUGCGUAGAUAUCGGAAGGAACGCCGGUGGCGAAAGCGGCGUGCUGGACCUCUUCUGACGCUGAGGCGCGAAAGCCAGGGGAGCGAACGGG
rnacentral:rRNA from 1 species